GAUUAACGUUGGCGGCGUGCCUAACACAUGCAAGUCGAGCGCGAAAGGUAGCAAUACCGAGUAGAGCGGCGGACGGGUGAGUAACACGUAGGGAACCUGCCUUACAGUGGGGAAUAACUCUCGGAAACGAGAGCUAAUACCGCAUGACACCCCGGAGACGCAUGUCACCGGGGUUAAAGAUGGCCUCUGCUUGCAAGCCAUCGCUGGAAGUGGGCCCUGUGGCGUAUCAGGUAGUUGGUGAGGUAACGGCCCACCAAGCCUAAGACGCGUAGCCGGACUGAGAGGUUGUACGGCCACACUGGGACUGAGAUACGGCCCAGACUCCUACGGGAGGCAGCAGUGAGGAAUAUUCGGCAAUGGGCGCAAGCCUGACCGAGCGACGCCGCGUGGAGGACGAAGGCCUUCGGGUUGUAAACUCCUUUUAGUGGGUAAGAAACUCUUACGUUCGAACAGGGCGUGAGAUUGACCAUCCCAAAGAAAAAGCACCGGCUAAUUCCGUGCCAGCAGCCGCGGUAAUACGGAAGGUGCUAACGUUAUCCGGAAUUACUGGGCGUAAAGGGCGUGUAGGUGGUGAUGUAAGUCAGCUGUAAAAUCCCAUGACUCAAUCGUGGAACGCCAGUUGAAACUGCAUUGCUAGAGUGCUGGAGAGGUGGGUGGAAUUCCCGGUGUAGCGGUGAAAUGCGUAGAGAUCGGGAAGAACACCAGUGGCGAAGGCGGCCCACUGGCCAGCAACUGACGCUGAAACGCGAAAGCGUGGGGAGCGAACGGGAUUAGAUACCCCGGUAGUCCACGCUGUAAACGAUGGACACUAGGUGUGGGAGGUUUAAAAUUCCUUCUGUGCCGAAGCUAACGCAUUAAGUGUCCCGCCUGGGGAGUACGGCCGCAAGGUUAAAACUCAAAGGAAUUGACGGGGGCCCGCACAAGUGGUGGAGCAUGUGGUUCAAUUCGAUGCAACGCGAAAAACCUUACCCAGGUUUGACAUCCCGGGAACUUCCACGAAAGUGGGGGGUGCCCUUCGGGGAGCUCGGAGACAGGUGCUGCAUGGUUGUCGUCAGCUCGUGCCGUGAGGUGUUGGGUUAAGUCCCGCAACGAGCGCAACCCCUGUUGUAUGUUACCAACGGGUCAUGCCGGGGACUCAUGCAAGACUGCCGGUAACAAGCCGGAGGAAGGUGGGGAUGACGUCAAAUCAUCAUGGCCUUUAUGCCUGGGGCCACACACGUGCUACAAUGGACUGUACAGAGGGAUGCGAAGCCGCAAGGUGAAGCAAAUCCCAAAAAGCAGUUCACAGUUCGGAUUGAGGGCUGCAACUCGCCCUCAUGAAGCUGGAAUCACUAGUAAUCGCGGAUCAGCAUGCCGCGGUGAAUACGUUCUCGGGCCUUGUACACACCGCCCGUCACACCACGAAAGCUGGUUCUGCCUGAAGUCGCUGUACCAACCCGCAAGGGGGGAAGGCGCCGAUGGCCGGGUCGGUGAUUGGGGUG
rnacentral:rRNA from 1 species